CCUACGGGAGGCAGCAGUGGGGAAUAUUGCACAAUGGGGGGAACCCUGAUGCAGCGACGCCGCGUGGGUGAAGGAGUACUUCGGUACGUAAAGCCCUAUCAGCAGGAAAGAAAAUGACGGUACCUGACUAAGAAGCCCCGGCUAACUACGUGCCAGCAGCCGCGGUAAUACGUAGGGGGCAAGCGUUAUCCGGAUUUACUGGGUGUAAAGGGAGCGUAGACGGCAGUGCAAGUCCGGAGUGAAAGCCCGGGGCUCAACCCUGGGACUGCUCUGGAAACUGUAAAGCUGGAGUGCGGGAGGGGCAGGCGGAAUUCCUGGUGUAGCGGUGAAAUCCGUAGAUAUCUGGAGGAACAUCAGUGGCGAAGGCGACUAUCUGGCACAUAACUGACGCUUAGGAGCGAAAGCGUGGGUAGCAAACAGGAUUAGAUACCCUAGUAGUC
rnacentral:rRNA from 1 species